ACAAAGGCCUGCUUCAGAACUCAGUCUCCACUGCACUGCUGGCCAGACGAGGGAUGUUAUUUUGGGCAGUGCAUCUGGACUUGGUUCAAGUGGCACCAGCCAAAUCCCUGCCUUACUGACCUCUCCCCUGGAGGAGCAGGAGCAGCGCUCAAGGCCGCCUUGGGAGGGCUGAGAGGCAGGCUCUGGACUGGGGACACAGGGAUAGCUGAGCCCCAGCUGGGGGUGGAAGCUGAGCCAGAGACAGUCACAGAGGAACAAGAUCAAGAUGCGCUUUAACUGAGAAGCCCCCAAGGCAGAGGCUGAGAAUCAGAAGACAUUUCAGCAGACAUCUACAAAUCUGAAGGACAAAACAUGGUUCAAGCAUCUGGGCACAGGCGGAGCUGGUACCUUCGCUUAUACAAAUGUACUUACUUAUUACAUUUCAUUGCUGUCAGCUCCACGCAAGCAGGGAUAUUUGCCUGUUGUACACUUGCACGGAGAGAAUGAAUAGUGCCCCUCUGUUGACAUCAUUGCCUCUAGCCUACGUCUCUUUCCAGGGCUUUAGAUCCUGUUUCUAGAGACCCACUGGUGUCUCACAGGCAACUCAGCUCCUAGAUGGAAACAGCCUCCUCCGCCCCCCACAAGUCCACUCCUCCUGUGCUCUUGGCUCAGUCAGGGGUCCCCUUCUCUUCAGUUGCUCAAGCCAGAAGUCAAGGUCAUGUCCUUGAUACUUCCCUCUUCCCCAUGCCUCACAUCCAGUCACCAAUCUCCUAAAAUAUCUAGAAUGUGCACAGCUUCCACCAUUCUUUCUACCACCACCCUACUCCCCCAUGGCCAUGUCAGGCCACCACCCGCCCAUUCUUCAAAACUCCCUUCAGGCCUCACCUCCCAUGCCUCCCCUGAGUUCCCCCAGUCCCAGGCUGCUUCUCUCUGGUGGUGUUGCCAUUACCCAUCUCUUCUAUUAAACAGAGUGACCCAAGAGUGGAGAGUGGGUUUUGACUUUGUAUCCCUGGUGCUUGACUCAUAAGUAGGUGCUCAACAAAAAUUUUUUCUUUUUUUGAGAUGGAGUCUUGUUCUGUUGCCCAUGCUGGAGUGCAG